AGGGAAAGAGGGAGGCAUGCCUUACACAUGCAAGUCGAACGGUAACGGGCCUUCGGGUGCCGACGAGUGGCGAACGGGUGAGUAAUACAUCGGAACGUGCCCGAUCGUGGGGGAUAACGAGGCGAAAGCUUUGCUAAUACCGCAUACGAUCUACGGAUGAAAGCAGGGGACCGCAAGGCCUUGCGCGGACGGAGCGGCCGCUGGCAGCUUAGGUAGUUGGUGGGAUAAAAGCUUACCAAGCCGACGAUCUGUAGCUGGUCUGAGAGGAUGAUCAGCCACACUGGGACUGAGACACGGCCCAGACUCCUACGGGAGGCAGCAGUGGGGAAUUUUGGACAAUGGGCGCAAGCCUGAUCCAGCCAUGCCGCGUGCAGGAUGAAGGCCUUCGGGUUGUAAACUGCUUUUGUACGGAACGAAAAGCCUUCUUUUAAUACAGGAGGGUCAUGACGGUACCGUAAGAAUAAGCACCGGCUAACUACGU
rnacentral:rRNA from 1 species